rnacentral:rRNA from 1 species
GACGAACGCUGGCGGCGUGCUUAACACAUGCAAGUCGAACGGAAAGGCCCUGCUUGCAGGGUACUCGAGUGGCGAACGGGUGAGUAACACGUGGGUGAUCUGCCCUGCACUUCGGGAUAAGCCUGGGAAACUGGGUCUAAUACCGGAUAGGAGCCAUUUUUAGUGUGAUGGUUGGAAAGUUUUUUCGGUGUAGGAUGAGCUCGCGGCCUAUCAGCUUGUUGGUGGGGUAAUGGCCUACCAAGGCGGCGACGGGUAGCCGGCCUGAGAGGGUGGACGGCCACAAUGGGACUGAGAUACGGCCCAGACGCCGACGGGAGGCAGCAGUGGGGAAUAUUGCACAAUGGGCGCAAGCCUGAUGCAGCGACGCCGCGGGGGGGAUGACGGCCUUCGGGUUGGAAACUCCUUUCGCUAGGGACGAAGCUUUUUGUGACGGUACCUAGAGAAGAAGCACCGGCUAACUACGUG